GAUGAACGCUGGCGGCGUGCCUAAUACAUGCAAGUCGAGCGAACAGACGAGGAGCUUGCUCCUCUGACGUUAGCGGCGGACGGGUGAGUAACACGUGGAUAACCUACCUAUAAGACUGGGAUAACUUCGGGAAACCGGAGCUAAUACCGGAUAAUAUAUUGAACCGCAUGGUUCUAUAGUGAAAGACGGUUUUGCUGUCACUUAUAGAUGGAUCCGCGCCGCAUUAGCUAGUUGGUAAGGUAACGGCUUACCAAGGCAACGAUGCGUAGCCGACCUGAGAGGGUGAUCGGCCACACUGGAGCUGAGACACGGUCCAGACUCCUACGGGAGGCAGCAGUAGGGAAUCUUCCGCAAUGGGCGAAAGCUUGACGGAGCAACGCCGCGUGAGUGAUGAAGGUCUUCGGAUCGUAAAACUCUGUUAUUAGGGAAGAACAAAUGUGUAAGUAACUAUGCACGUCUUGACGGUACCUAAUCAGAAAGCCACGGCUAACUACGUG
rnacentral:rRNA from 1 species